UGAAGAAGGUUUUCGGAUUCGUAAAAACUCUGUUUGUAAGGGAAGAACANGUACAGUAGUAACUGGCUGUACCUUGACGGUACCUUAUUAGAAAGCCACGGCUAACUACGUGCCAGCAGCCGCGGUAAUACGUAGGUGGCAAGCGUUGUCCGGAAUUAUUGGGCGUAAAGCGCGCGCAGGCGGUCCUUUAAGUCUGAUGUGAAAGCCCACGGCUCAACCGUGGAGGGUCAUUGGAAACUGGGGGACUUGAGUGCAGAAGAGGAAAGUGGAAUUCCAAGUGUAGCGGUGAAAUGCGUAGAGAUUUGGAGGAACACCAGUGGCGAAGGCGACUUUCUGGUCUGUAACUGACGCUGAGGCGCGAAAGCGUGGGGAGCAAACAGGAUUAGAUACCCUGGUAGUCCACGCCGUAAACGAUGA
rnacentral:rRNA from 1 species